rnacentral:rRNA from 1 species
AUACGUAGGGUGCGAGCGUUGUCCGGAAUUACUGGGCGUAAAGAGCUCGUAGGUGGUUUGUCGCGUCGUCUGUGAAAUUCCGGGGCUUAACUCCGGGCGUGCAGGCGAUACGGGCAUAACUUGAGUACUGUAGGGGAGACUGGAAUUCCUGGUGUAGCGGUGAAAUGCGCAGAUAUCAGGAGGAACCCCGGUGGCGAAGGCGGGUCUCUGGGCAGUAACUGACGCUGAGGAGCGAAAGCAUGGGUAGCGAACAGGAUUAGAUACCCUGGUAGUCCAUGCCGUAAACGGUGGGCGCUAGGUGUAGGGGUCUUCCACGACUUCUGUGCCGUAGCUAACGCAUUAAGCGCCCCGCCUGGGGAGUACGGCCGCAAGGCUAAAACUCAAAGGAAUUGACGGGG